GAAAUUUCGUGUUGGCACGAGGGCACCCCCCCCCAUGCACUGAAGGAUGCUGCAAUGCCAUCACAACCUGAGCUGGUUCAUAUUUGUAUUUCUCACAGAAGCAUUAAAAUGUACACAGCCUUCAGUUACUAAAUAAAUACAGUAUCUGCAUCUGUGUCUUUGCAGAGAUCACAUGUUUACCAGUUGUGAGGUGGUUGUCCUAAGCAGAAGGGUGGCCUGAGAGCCUGAUCUAGAUCAUAUUCUUCCCAGGCAAGUGAUGGGUUCAUCACCCUUCCUACUGAGCCUUCUCUUGUUCAGCACAGACAAAAAGCACGGGCUAAGAGCAACAACAUUUUUCACUACAUUCUCAGAGAUGAGGCUACAAGGAGCACAGGGGGACAUUUUCAUGCAUGCCUUGUAGCAGACAGAGGAGGUGAACAGCUUUUUUAAAACUGAUCAAGAG
rnacentral:lncRNA from 1 species